CCACGUUCCUGUCCUAGGGUCCAGGAGAGGGGCAGAGGCUGGUGUGGACCCAGCGGGAACUCUCCUGCGUGGGUCAGAAACUGAGCUCGCAGAAGGGGCGCCAUGCCAGGGUGGAGCAGGGGCAGAGCUGGGGCAGGCCCUGGCCAGGGGCGAUGAGGGGCCAAAUGGAGGCCCUGAGCUCCCUGCUGCCCUACUGCUGCUUGAGAGGGCUUCCCUGCCUCCUUGGGGACUGGCCCUGUGAGUCACGCUGGGGCCAUCGAGGCUGCUGCUGUGGGCAAUUUUGAGGAAGCGGCAGGUGGCAGGUGCGGCUGGGCCUGCAGCUGAGGCAGGGCUGGGCGGUGAGUCCCGAGAGCCCUGCCCACGCCCAGGGAAAGGCGGGAUAAAUAGCAAACAGGGCGGCCACGGCGGCCGGCUGCCUGGGAGGAAGCCGUGUGUCCGCUCUGUACCCCCUGAUUUCAGCGCCCUCUUCAUGUCUGCUUCAUGCCCACGUCCCCCACAGAAAUCUGGCUCCCGUGACUGUGGCCGUGAAGUCCCGCCACAGGCAGAGUGAGCCGGAGAUCCCGGGGUGCUGGUGACGUGGCUCCGUCCAAGCUGAAGGCCCCAGAGGCAGACAAGCCCACGGUGUCUGUCCAAGGCCGACAGCCCAGUGCCCCUCUCUUUGCCGCUGUCAGGCCUGGGGUUGGAGAGACAGUGUCCGCUGGUCACCUGGUGCGGGGAGGCCUGGGCAGGCCCUGGGACACGGAGAGAGUAAGACACAACCGCUAACAGAUAAAGACCACACACAGGACAAAGCACUAGCAGCGACAGGAGGCAUUUAACAAGGAUGCGAGAACAGAGGAAGAAGCUGGGGCCUCUCCUGGGAAGCAGGAGAUGGUCCUUUAUAUGUCCCUGGGGGCUUGUGACCUGACGCUCAACACCCAGGGUUGGUCCUGGGCCCGGAUGAUGUAACAGUGUCUAUUUCACGACUUUUCCUGUUAAUGAUUAGUACCAGGUUUUCUACCGGGGAAGAACAUUCGGCUUGUACCUUGGUGUCAGUCCCAGUUCCCCAAACCUCCCCGUGAAACACGGUAAAAUCAUCUUUCUACCCGGCACGUGCUUUGCGCGGCUCUCUCACUUGGUUGCAUUUGUGUGCCUUUCAUCCCCGAAAGCAGUUCAUUCCCGUAAAUGUUCCUGACGGCCGUUAGAGCCCCUACACUCUGAUACAAGGCCCGACUGUUUUCUGUCUCCAACGCAGUCCAACGCACAACCGCACAGCAUGCGAGAUGCCUUCCUAUCUUCAAAGAAAAUGAUAUGCUGUCUGUAAGCCCUUGCUAGCAAGGUGCAGCGGGACAGGAAACACCCACGACCGCGGGAACGCAGCGCCCGUCAGCUGGGCAGCUUCCUGGAUGGCGUCUCCUUCAGUUGUACAUCUGGGUGUCUUCCAGGCAAAACUAUCCGUGCGAGGCCCUGGUCAGCUCUCUCACCCAGACUGCUCCUGGCAUCUCCAGAGUGGUCUUGCAGCCUCCCCUCCAGACUUGAGGCUAUUGAGGAUCUUGGGCACGCAUGCACAUGAGCCUGGCAUGAGUUUCAAGCCACCGGGUCCCAAAUUCAAACUGUGGUUGACCACGCAGGAGGUCCGGUGACACAGCACAGAGGAAGGAGUUACUGUUUUCUUGGCGAAGUCCAGGAGAGUCUGACAGACACUUAGGCUGAGCGCCAUCUUGCAGGCUAGGUGGCCUUCCUGAGGGGCCAGCUGGGGAGGUGUCCGCGGUGGAGGGAGCGUGGGAGAGCCAGCGCGCCUCACGAAGGGCACGACGAGGCUGGGGUGAGGCAGCCGGUGUGCUGGGGGCUCUGCCGCUCCUUUCUGUCUGGCCUUGGUUAAGUAACUCUCCCCCAGCCCACUUUUCCCCCUCAUUUACAAGUGCGGUAUGAGACUGAGUGUGAGCCUAUUUGUAAGUACCAAGAGGGCAGCAGGUGCUCAAAGCUGGGCCCACCCUCCCCAGGUAAGAGGCCAUGGCAGGGGAUGUGGCUGGGAGGGGCUGGGGAGAGCCUCCGUGGCCAUUUUGUACUGGAAACGUCUAGGUUAAGUCUGAGCUUUCAGAGUCCCCGAGGCAGUUGGGAGGGUGAUGGUAGUGGGGAGAAACAGAGCCGGAGGCGUCAGGCCAGGCCCUCUGACCUUGGAGGAGAGGAGCCGGGCGAUCCCUGCCUCUCCUGGCCCUCACAGAGGCGGGGAGGCAUCGAUCAGUAACUGUGAGGGUCCACAGAGGGCAUCCACUUUAAUCCGUAAUACCGAGUUUCCUUCUCCCACCCGUGCACUUCCAGCUCAUUUUACUUCCAGGCCACUUAAGACACACUUUUGUCCGACUAUGUAGUUAAGGCAAGUUCAUUGGAAGACAGGCCGUAGUGUCCCCGGGCGCUGGCCGGCUCUGCACCAGGCACCCUUGGUGAAGCUGGGCAGGACUGGGUCCAUCCAGCCUUCUGGGCGGCCCCUGGGUAGUACCACAGACUGGGGCGGGGCUCUGGUCCCCACCAGGCUGGGGAGGAGCGUGCCCCCUGCCCCGUACCCCUCUGCCCCCGUGGGACUCCAGGACUUGUAUCUUUAGUGAGCUAACCUUUUAAGAAAAAUAGGAAGAGACAUUGACACAAGGACACAAGGCAUUCUAUUUCUUUUCUUUCUUUCUUUCUUUGAGUUUUUUUCCUGGCUACAUAUUUAUUCAAUAAAUAAUUUCCUCCAACUUUACUGAGGUGGCUGGCCCUAUCCAUGACCAAAUCCACCUCUUAACUGGAAUUCGGUGACGGACCCGCCCCAGCCCUGGCUUUCCUGUCCGCAUGGGGUGGGGGGUGGGGGGCUUGGGGAGCACAGCACUCCGUCUGUAGGUGUCUCUGAGCUUCUCCUCUUGUAAGUCUUGCAGGUCGCUUGCCCUCCAGACUUCCGGUCAGGGCCUGCCAGUCUCAGGACGGCUUUGGCACAGGGUGGCAGGCAGGAUCUGAGGGGGCACGUGGAGGUAAUCGUGCAAAACUGGAUACCCUCAUUGUUUCCUCAAUUGCAAAUUCACGUUACGGAGCGAAGGAAAGCUCCAUGUACAGAAUCAGCAACCAACAGGCCCUUAAGACAACCAGCCUGACAAAGCGGACGGAACCGGGAAGCUGUGUUUGGUGGCCGGGCUGAAGGAUGGAGCCGACUUUAGGCAGGCCUUCUUAAGGUGAUCAGCGAUGGAUGGAUUUCUUGGCCUCUGGGCACUCCCCCAAUUUUCCUGUUGCCUGCUGAGAAGUUCAAAGAAGUCCGGGUUGCUCCUGGCCUCCCUAAAAAAGGUUAAGUCAUCUGCUAAAGGUCACAGCAGAGAAGCCAGGACUUGAACCUAAUCUCAUUUAGGACUCCACGUGCUCAACAGGACACAGAUGGCUGCUCGCACCGUGUGUGUGAAAGCAGUGCCCAAGCUGUUCUAGCCUGAUGUGGCACGAGAAACCACCGCAGCCAAACGGGUACCGUGAACUAGCCGUGCUGUCAACAAAUCAUGCAGCUGUAUUACGGCCUCCCCCAGUGUCGGAACACAGGACCGCAUAUCUAGCAUGCACUUCAGCACCGGAUCUUGGAAGUUAGCAACAUGCGU